rnacentral:rRNA from 1 species
AUUGAACGCUGGCGGUACGCUUAACACAUGCAAGUCGAACGGUAGCAGGCCUUCGGGCGCUGACGAGUGGCGGACGGGUGAGUAACGCGUAGGAAUCUGCCUCAUAGUGGGGGACAACGUGGGGAAACUCACGCUAAUACCGCAUACGCCCUACGGGGGAAAGCGGGGGCUCUUCGGACCUCGCGCUAUGAGAUGAGCCUGCGUUAGAUUAGCUAGUUGGUAGGGUAAAAGCCUACCAAGGCGACGAUCUAUAGCUGGUCUGAGAGGACGAUCAGCCACACUGGGACUGAGACACGGCCCAGACUCCUACGGGAGGCAGCAGUGGGGAAUACUGGACAAUGGGCGCAAGCCUGAUCCAGCAAUACCGCGUGUGUGAAGAAGGCCCUAGGGUUGUAAAGCACUUUCAAUUGGGAGGAAAACCUGUCGGUCAAUACCCGGCAGCUUGACAUUACCUUUAGAAGAAGCACCGGCUAACUCCGUGCCAGCAGCCGCUGUAACAC